CAGGAGGCAGAGGUAGGUGGAUCUCCAGUUGGAGGCCAGCCUGGUCUUCCAGGGAGGCCAAGGCAACAGAGAGAAGCCCUGUGGGGAUGCGAUGAGGAGACAGCAUUCCUAGACUCCAGCCACGGAAGUAGUUAUGCUAACUGAAGAUUGGUACCUCCCCCCAACUCUCCUAAAGUCAGUCCUCCAGUCUUAUCCCAGCUCUGUAGCAAACUAUCUGCUACAGCCACACCAUGCUGCCACCAGUGGGUCACACAGAUCUCUCACUUCCAACUCAUUAUUUUAUCCCAUCCUACAAACCUAGUAGGCACUCCCUAGGAACCCACAGGUCAUUCCAGCCAGGAAAGCAGGCAGGCUAACUGCGUAUGUCCACCUCUCUGUUCCUUCAAAUCAAUCCCCCAGUCUCAGCUUGUAACAGACUACUUGCUGUGGCCUCUCAUUACUCUCUCUACCUCCACUCCUAAGCAGAUCCUGGUGGAACACCCUGCUUUCCUCUCUCCUGUGGGUCCCUUAGCCCCACCCCCAGAUCAUCCCCAUUCCUGUGUCAGCUCUUAAUACCUAGGAACACACUUUACCCAGAACCCUCAGUGGCCACACUCACCAGGAUCUCUGAAGAACAAAGCAUCCACCCAACAAAGACAAGACCAGAUAUCAUCAGCAAGAAUUACAAUUUUCCCAAACCCAGAUGGCUACAUGCCAAUGUAAAAACACAUCAAUAACAGCCAGAACAACAUGUCUCCACUAGAGCCCACGGCAGGCCCUGAGAAUUUUAGCAUAGCUGAACCAUACAACAAAGACCUUAUGAGAAAGAUAGAUGUUCUUAAAGAAAAAAGGAAAAAAUCCCUUAAAGAAAUCUAUGAACAUACUAGCAAGUGGCAAAAGGAAAUGAAUAAAACAGUUCAAGACUGAAAGUGGAAAUAAACCCCAAAUUAAGGAAAAUCUGGAAAUGAAAAUUUUAGGAAUGCACCAGGACACUCACAGGUAAGCCUCACCUACAGAAUACCUACACCUACAGAUGGAGGUGAGAGUCUCAGGCACUGAAGACAUGGAUAUGAAAUUGCCAACUAAUGGGGGAAGGGCAGAGCACUGACUGGCUAUCUCUUAUCAUCAAAUGAAGCUUCUAGUACUGAGUUUAGGUUACAUCUAAUUGAGCUGUUGGCCAAAGGGGUCUCAUGGGAAUCUCCAAGUAACCCAGAUUAGUGCCUAGACUAUCAGUUGCUCUCCCCAAACUGAUGAAGACAACAGUCACUGAAUGUGGAGAAGUCGGGCUGCUGUAUCUAAAGGACUGACUCUCACCCCUAAUUUCUGUCAUCUUUGGUACAGAAAGGUAUUCUGCAAGCUACACAAACAAACAAAUGCAACCAUAAAUCCUUGGAUUGACAAUGGUGUCCUGCCUGCAAGACAUGCUAAUUCAAAGUGUCACAACAUUGCUGGAGUAACCAACCGAUUUCUGAUUUGACUGAAGGCCUACUCCAUGAGCUAUUCCGGACACUGUUUGGUGCCCAAAACCCUGAGACUAAAUAGCCCAGGGUUCUAAGGUAAAAUAAGACUGGUCUUAAAAAGAAAGCUAGGAAUAAAAUGACUCCUAAUGACAUUCUGUGCUCAUAGGUCAGUGCCCUGCUCAGACAUCAUCAGAGAAGCUUCCUCCUGCAGCAGACGGGAACAAAUACAGGAUCUACAGCCAGACAUUACACAGAAGCCUUGGAACAUGCAGCCCUAAAUGGGAUGUCUCCAUUAAAUCCCUGCCCUCAGGGCUCAGGGAACCUUGCAGAAGAGGAGGUGGAACGAGUGAAAGAACCAGAAAGGAUGGAGGACUACAAGAGAACAAGAGCAAAGCCCACCAUGAGAAGGGAGAGGAGCAGCCAGACUGCAUGGUCCUUCUGCUCGGUGGAAGAACAAGCCUUUGACCAUCUGGGUUGCUCUACUGCUGUCUUAUGAGUAAAAAAUUUAAUUUGAAGAUGGAAAUUCCUGCCCUCCAUCCCAAACUCUGACUUUCAGAAUAAGUUCUAUAAAUACAUCUAAUAAAACCAGGAACUACAAUGAAGGGUGAGUAUUAAGAUGUUUAGAAAAGUUACUAAAAUAGUCUUUAAUAAUUAAUUACUUAUAAUUCAGGAACACUCAUAGUCAAAACUUAAAUGCACUGGAAGAAAAGGAAAAGCAGGAGGUUAUUUUCUUCUGUCUUCAGAAAAAAGAUUUAUAUAUUUUGAGUCAUUCAACAAUAUAUGCUGAGUACCACUAGUAGAGUGAGUUAAGUAGCAAAUCUGCCAACAGAACUUAAAUAUUCUCUUUUAAUACUGAGUAUUAUUAUUACAGUUAACUGCAUGGUUGUGUCAGCACAUAUGUACCACGCGCAGUACAUGGCAGAGGUCAGAGAACGACUUUCACAAGCUGGUUCUCUUUUUCCUCCAAGGCUUCCUGGGUUUGAACUCCAUCAGGACUACACGACCAAGAGCUUUAUCCAUUCUGAGCCAUCAUGCUGGUGUUCAGACAUCAUUCUUACCCAAUCUCAGUGCUUAGCUGUCAUGGCUUCAUGAAUCAGCACCAAGACGUGCAAAAUCAGUCAGAGGUCUUCUUGUGCAAUUAUGAGGGAAACUGCCCAAACGGGCGUUUUUUUACUUUUCUUUUUAUUAUGAGACAGGGCCUUAAAGGUUUAAUUUUUACAUUAAUUCUUGUUUUCUCUUUUUGAAUCAGCCUCACUUCAUACCUUAGAAAAGCCUGGAUCUUUUAAUCCUUCUGCCUCUGCCUCUCAAGUCAAGGACUAUAGAUUUGUGUUACCAUAACCAAAUCUAAACUGGCAAAUUAAUGUUCGGCAUAGCAAAAAGCCUUUCUCUGAAUGGUACUGCUAAGAGAGUGAAGAGACAAACUGCCAACACUGGGAGAAAUACUUGCAAAUUAUGAAUAUGAAAAAGGAUGUACAUCUGAAAACGAAUAAAUCUCAGUGCUCAACAACACAGGGCCAGGUGUGGAGGUGCACAGCUUCCAGCACUUGGGGGCUGGAGGGCAGAAUGCCUGAGUUCAAGGCCAUCCAGGGCUACACAGAGACCCGUCUCACAAACCAAAACAAUCAAAGCUCAACAACAAGAAAACAAACAACUUGACCCAAGACAAGAAAUUGAUGGCUACUAGGCAGAUGAAAAGAUGCCUAACACAGAAAGCCUUAAGACACAUUGGAGAAAUACAAAAUAAAACCAGAGCACAAUGCUGGUGCCAAGCUAAUAGAAUAGCACACAGUCAUUCAUUGGUGAGUGUCUGUCUGUCUCUUCCACAGACUCACGGAUACAAGCACAUCUUUAAAUAAGAAUUAGUGCCAAGAAGACAAACUUGUCUUUGCUUAUUACUUGCAGGAAUGCAUCAGAGUCCUAUCACCUUCUAAACCAGACUCCUGAAAACAGCAACAGCAACAACAGCAACAGCACUGAACAUCGAACAUGGAUCUCACCACCUCACUCCUUGGACCUGGCCCAAGAGAGAUGAAAACUAUGUUAUCCUAGAACCUGCACUAGAAGGUUCAUAGAAACUGUUCUCAUUGAUUCCCAAGACUGAAGUAACUCAAGUGUUCUUCAGCACCAAUGGUCAGUGAGUGUGGUGCACCUGUGUGAGGGAAGCACCUGACAUCAGGAGAAGCUGGUAUGUCACACACUGAGAGGCAGAAGACAGUCGGAUAUGCACACACUAAUGUUCACAUGACAGUCUGCAAAAGGGCAAAUUACUCAACAGAGACGGGGAAGAACAGCAGUUGACAGUGGGAGGAGUUAGAACGCAAUGCAGCAACAAGCCACAGCUGUUUUGCAGUGUUCUCAAGAGCAUUCCUGGAGAUUCCUCAGAAAAUUGUUAAUAGAUCUAUCUGAAGACCCGGCUACACCACUCUUG
rnacentral:sRNA from 1 species